AAAAUGUGUAUAUGUGUGUGUGUGUGUGUGUAUAUAUCUAUAUAUAUACACACACACACACAUAUACACAUUUUAU